AUACUUACCUGGCAGGGGAGAUACCAUGAUCAUGAAGGUGGUUUCCCCAGGGCAAGGAUCACCCAUUGCACUUCAUGUGUACUGACCCAUUUCUGGGUGUGUUGACCGAUUUCCCCAAAUGUGGGAAACUUGACUGCAUAAUUUGUGAUAGUGGGGUUUA